rnacentral:rRNA from 1 species
AGCGAACGCUGGCGGCAUGCCUAACACAUGCAAGUCGAACGAGACCUUCGGGUCUAGUGGCGCACGGGUGCGUAACGCGUGGGAACCUGCCCUUAGGUUCGGAAUAACUCCCCGAAAGGGGUGCUAAUACCGGAUAAUGUCUUCGGACCAAAGAUUUAUCGCCUUUGGAUGGGCCCGCGUUGGAUUAGCUAGUUGGUAGGGUAAAAGCCUACCAAGGCGACGAUCCAUAGCUGGUCUGAGAGGAUGAUCAGCCACACUGGGACUGAGACACGGCCCAGACUCCUACGGGAGGCAGCAGUGGGGAAUAUUGGACAAUGGGCGAAGGCCUGAUCCAGCAAUGCCGCGUGAGUGAUGAAGGCCUUAGGGUUGUAAAGCUCUUUUACCCGGGAUGAUAAUGACAGUACCGGGAGAAUAAGCUCCGGCUAACUCCGUG